rnacentral:rRNA from 1 species
UCCAGGUUGAUCCCGCCGGACCUGACUGCUAUCUGAUUGGUACUAAGCCAUGCGAGUCGUUGUAGCAAUACAAGGCGGACUGCUCAGUAACACGUAGUUAACUUAACCUAUGGAUGGGAAUAACCUCGGGAAACUGAGAAUAAUACCCAAUGGGCCACAGUGCCUGGAAUGGCCUGUGGUUGAAAUGAUUUAUCGCCGUAGGAUAGGACUGCGGCCUAUCAGCUUGUUGGUGAGGUAAUGGCCCACCAAGGCUAUAACAGGUACGGGCUCUGAGAGGAGGGGCCCGGAGAUGGGUACUGAGACACGGACCCAGGCCCUAUGGGGCGCAGCAGGCGAGAAACCCUUGCAAUGUGCGAAAGCACGACAAGGUUAAUCCGAGUGUCUCCUGCUAAAGGAGUCUUUUGUCAGUUGUAGAAUCACUGGUGAAUAAGGGGUGGGCAAGUUCUGGUGUCAGCCGCCGCGGUAAAACCAGCACCUCGAAUGGUCAGGAGGUUUAUUGGGCCUAAAGCAUCCGUAGCCGGUUGCAUAAGUUUUCGGUUAAAUCUAUGCGCUUAACGUAUAGGCCGCCGAAAAUACUGUGCAGCUAGGGAG